rnacentral:rRNA from 1 species
GACGAACGCUGGCGGCGUGCUUAACACAUGCAAGUCGAACGGAAAGGCCCAGCUUGCUGGGUACUCGAGUGGCGAACGGGUGAGUAACACGUGGGUUAUCUGCCCUCAACUUUGGGAUAAGCCUAGGAAACUGGGUCUAAUACCGGCUAUGAUCAACUGUCGCAUGGUGGUUGGUGGAAAGCUUUUGCGGUUGGGGAUGGGCCCGCGGCCUAUCAGCUUGUUGGUGGGGUAUUGGCCUACCAAGGCGACGACGGGUAGCCGACCUGAGAGGGUGAUCGGCCACACUGGGACUGAGACACGGCCCAGACUCCUACGGGAGGCAGCAGUGGGGAAUAUUGCACAAUGGGCGCAAGCCUGAUGCAGCGACGCCGCGUGAGGGAUGACGGCCUUCGGGUUGUAAACCUCUUUCACCAGGGACGAAGCGUGAGUGACGGUACCUGGAGAAGAAGCACCGGCCAACUACGUG